CAGAACUGAGAACAGUCUGGGUAUAAAUUUUCUAGAAAACCGAGGGUAAGAACCUGAGCAGAACCCAAAUAAAAGACAAUUAGGAUCGAAAAUUGGUGACUGUAGUCGAGCCUCGAAGAGUUAAAAAAUUGACACAACAUUCCCACAGAACACUCGUUGCAAGGUUAGGAAAAUAUUCAACGCCAUUGACUUUGUGAGUUCGGAAUGUACUAAAAAGCUUCUCGACUCGCGGUUGGAUGGAAUUUUAGUGGUACGCGAAUGCUCCAGGAGGCAGCUAAGUCGCUCGAGACUUUGAUCGCGGGAAAAUGUAAAGUCAAUGAAUUUUAUCAAACACUGAAUUCGGAUGUUGGCACUGUUAUGACAGCAGAAGAACUGUUGGAACAACUCUAGAAGACAACUGUCUUCUUCAAACGCUGGGGCUUGACUGUCUUCCAGUUUUCACGAUUUUAUUUGACACCGAGAAUUAUUGCCAGCUCGGCCAGAACACGCCCAGAGAGGAGGGGGGAGCCAAUCGGUGGACGAUCUCGGUACCCCCACCUUCAGUUAGCCGCCACUUUGGGCCCUAUGAUCAUGGGCCCAUACGGUGUAGGGGCCGAAAGGGGCUGGCUGAAUGAGUGGACGGGGGAGAACUUUUGGGGAUUAGGAUUAAUUGUCUAGACACCUAAUGAUGCCAUUUUGUGAUACGGAUUUGCAAUAUGAAGAUUAUUUCGUAACCAAUGAAUAUGGUCGUAUUGAAUAUUUUGUUCAAUUCAGUCCCAGUUUUUUAAUACUAAAUAAUUGAAAAUUUGGUAGUGAAUAUUUAUUGUCUGACUAGUUAUAUAAUUCUUAUAGUGACAAAAUAACACCUCGUUUUUUAUUCUUUUAUUGAAAGUCACAAGAAAGAUUGUUAAUGUAAUCAAAAUUGUUUGUAGAUGAUAUAUAGUUGAUGGACAUAAGUAAGAAUUUUUCAUAUGAUAUUUAUUCAUUAAUAUCGGGAGUGCGGGGGUAACUUGUCCCUACAAAAGUUUUUAAUUAAUAAAAUUCAAUUCAGUCCUAAUUUGUUAAUACUAGAUAAUUGAAAAUUAAUGAAUUUUUCAAUUUGCUGUAGGCUAUUUGAAUUUGGUAGUAAAUAUUUAUUAUCUUAUUAGUUACAUAAUUUUUAUAGUGACAAAAUAGCACCUCGUUUUUUAUUCUUUUAUUGAAGGUCAUAAGAAAUAUUGUUAAUGUAAUCAAAAUUGUUUGUAAAUGAUAUAUAAUUAAUGGACAUAAGGCAGAAUUUUUCAUGUGAUAUUCAUUAAUUAAUAUCGGAGGUGGGGGUAGCGAUUCCCUUGAAAUGUUCUUAAUUAAUCAAAUUCAAUUCAGUCCCAAUUGUUUAAUACCAUAUAAUUGAAAAUUAAUUUUUUAAUUCCCUUCAAGUUACUUCCAAGUUGAUAGUACAUAUUCUGUCUUAUUAAUUAAAAAUAUUUAUGGAGAGAAAACAUUCCAUAUCUAAUAUUUUAUUGAAGGUCAAUACAAACAUUAUCAAUCCAUUCGAAAUUGUUUGUAGGUCAUAUAUAGUUGAUUGGUAUAAGGGUAUCAAUGACUCUCCAUGUGAUAUUCGUUAAUUAAUAUUUUGGAAAUGGAGGGUAAUGUUUCCCUAUAAAAGUUUUUGCUAAAUUAUAUUCAAUUCAGUCCCAAUUGUUUGAUACCAUAUAAAUGAAAAUUAAUUACUUUUUUAAAUUUGCUUUAAGUUACUCCGGAUUUGAUAGUUAAUAUUUUCUUUUGAAAAUUUUUAAAAAUUUAUAGAGCGAACUUAGCACCCUUAUUCCGAUUUUUUUAUUGUAGGCUAAACGAACUAUUGACAAUAUAUUCGAAAUUGUUGAUCGGCGAUGCAUAGUUUAUGGGUAUAAGACUAUCAAUGAUCCUUCAUAUGAUAUUCAUUAAUUAAAACGGAAAAGUUUUUAAUUAAUAAGAUUUAAUUCACUCCCAAUUGUUUAAUACGACAUAAUUGUAAAUUAAUGAAACUUGCAAUUCAUCUCAAAUUACUUUGAAUUUGAUGGUGGCCAUUCAUUAUUCUAUUAAUUAAAAUUUUUAUAGGAAGAAGUGUAAGACCCCAUUUACGAUUUUUUUAUUGAAAGUCAAAAAAACAUUCUCAGUAUCUAAAACUGUUUACAAAUGACAUAUAGUUUAUAAAUAUAAGUAAUGAUUCUUCCCGUUAUAUUUAUUAAUUAAUAUCGCAAAUGGAGUGCUACCAUUUCCCAUAGAAGAAUUUCGAAUUAACAAAAUAAUGAAUAUUCACUAUCAGUUCGAAUUCACUAAUCAAUUAUUAAUUUUAAUUAACGAAUGAGGAAACAAUGCUCUGCAAUGGGCCUUCAAAACACCUGAAUUAAUUAAGUAAUAUUAAUUAUCUGGGACUAUUCCAUUUUUUCUGUUAUCUUAAUUAUUGCUAUUAUUUACAAUCUACUUGUUCUUAAUCAUUUCAAUUCUCAUUAUAAAAUUAUGUCUCAUCUUUCCCUACUGUUUUCUCUAGAAUAUGAGUGGCCAUCUUAGCCAGAAUAAGCGAGACUAUUCGAAUUAUACAAAUGGGUCUUCAAUAAUACAUCUAAUUAAUUAUUUUAUCUAAUUAUAAACCACAUCUAGUUAACAUGAAGUUCAUCAGAGAUUUAAUGGACCCAUAAGUUGCGUUUUUCUUUGAUAUUCUCCAAAUUCCAAAACAAUUUUAUUACCUUUCAUAUUAUUAUAUCAUUAUUAUAUAUUAUUAUUUAUAUAUUAUUAUGUUAUAUCAAUAACAAUAAAAUUACAACAACACAAACAAAUUAUAACAAAAAUGUUUAC